rnacentral:tRNA from 1 species
GGAGGGGUGGCAGAGCGGUCGAAUGCGGUGGCCUCGAAAGCCAUUGUCCGAUUUAUCGGACCGGGGGUUCGAAUCCUCUCCCCUCCGCCA